rnacentral:rRNA from 1 species
CUCCGGGGAUAACAGGCUGAUACCGCCCAAGAGUUCAUAUCGACGGCGGUGUUUGGCACCUCGAUGUCGGCUCAUCACAUCCUGGGGCUGAAGUAGGUCCCAAGGGUAUGGCUGUUCGCCAUUUAAAGUGGUACGCGAGCUGGGUUUAGAACGUCGUGAGACAGUUCGGUCCCUAUCUGCCGUGGGCGCUGGAGAAUUGAGGGGGGCUGCUCCUAGUACGAGAGGACCGGAGUGGACGCAUCACUGGUGUUCGGGUUGUCAUGCCAAUGGCAUUGCCCGGUAGCUAAAUGCGGAAGAGAUAAGUGCUGAAAGCAUCUAAGCACGAAACUUGCCCCGAGAUGAGUUCUCCCUGA